ACUAGAGAUCAUCAGCAGUGCAUUCAGCAUCACGAGGAGAUUCAGUGUUAAUGUCACUGCUGUUCCUGAUUCAGGUCUGUCUCCAGCUGUUGUAGCAGGAAUAUCUGCAGCUCUUGUUCUGCUGACAGUGACUGCAGCUGCUGUGGUUUACUAUCGCCGCAGACCAAAGCAUGGCGACGGGAAGAAGACCGAAUAUCAGGUGAGAUACUGUGUGCAAUUAAUCUCCAAAAAUGAUGUUUACAACAGUUUCAGAUCUGUGUUAUCUGUGUAUGUAAAGUUUUCUGUGUAUGUUAUAUUGUGUGCCGUGUCUAGGGAAUAGAAAUGCUAU